rnacentral:rRNA from 1 species
GACGAACGCUGGCGGCGUGCUUAACACAUGCAAGUCGAACGGAAAGGCCCUGCUUUUGUGGGGUGCUCGAGCGGCGAACGGGUGAGUAACACGUGAGUAACCUGCCCUUGACUUUGGGAUAUCUUCAGGAAACUGGGGCUAAUACCGGAUAGGAGCUCCUGCUGCAUGGUGGGGGUUGGAAAGUUUCGGCGGUUGGGGAUGGACUCGCGGCUUAUCAGCUUGUUGGUGGGGUAGUGGCUUACCAAGGCUGUGACGGGUAGCCGGCCUGGGAGGGUGACCGGCCACAUUGGGACUGAGGUACGGCGCAGACUCCUACGGGCGGCAGCAGUGGGGAAUAUUGCACAAUGGGCGGAAGCCUGAUGCAGCAACGCCGCGUGCGGGAUGACGGCCUUCGGGUUGUAAACCGCUUUCGCCGGUGACGAAGCGUGAGUGACGGUAAUGGGUAAAGAAGCACCGGCUAACUACGUG